GAUGAACGCUAGCGGCAGGCUUAAUACAUGCAAGUCGAGGGGCAGCAUGAGUAGCAAUACUUGAUGGCGACCGGCAAACGGGUGCGGAACACGUACAGAACCUUCCUUCGAGCGGGGAAUAGCCCGGAGAAAUCCGGAUUAAUACCCCAUAGUAAAUUGAAAAGGCAUCUUUUAAUUUUAAAGUAUUAUCACUUGAAGAUGGCUGUGCGCCUGAUUAGGUAGUUGGCGGGGUAACGGCCCACCAAGCCUUCGAUCAGUAACUGGUGUGAGAGCACGACCAGUCACACGGGCACUGAGACACGGGCCCGACUCCUACGGGAGGCAGCAGUAAGGAAUAUUGGUCAAUGGACGCAAGUCUGAACCAGCCAUGCCGCGUGGAGGAUGAAGGU
rnacentral:rRNA from 1 species